rnacentral:miRNA from 1 species
GGUGGGCCAAAAAGUUCGUUCGGGUUUUUCCUUAACACCUUAUGGAAAAACCCAAACAAACUUUCUGGCCAACC